AAGGGCCUGAAACCAAUGGACCACAAUGGACUUGCAGACCCAUAUGUUAAAUUACAUUUACUACCAGGUGCUAGUAAGGUAAAUAUUUUAUUUUUCAUAUUAGAACCAAUUUCUGAAUAAAUAUGAAUACAUUUUCUUAAUUCUAUUGCCUUGAUACAAAUAAAAAAAAUCUGAAUAUUUUUAAAAUUACAGAACUUUAUGUCAAGAGGUCUAAAUGUGUUGCUGUUCUGUACAGUGAUUGCAACAAUACACAUUGCUAUGAAAUUUCAAUGUUUAGAAAACUUUUCAAUAUGUUUCCAGCUUUUGUGCCAUAUCUCACUGUGGAGUGUUUGCUUUGUUUUAAGGAACAAAUUAAACACCCUUAAUAUAACAAGUCGUAAAAAAUCACAAAAUGUAUUAUUUUUGCAAACAUUAUUAUGUAAUUCUUUACCAUUUUGAGUUAUGAAAUCAUUAAAUACAACAUAUUCAACGGAGUUAAAGAAACAAAGGUUUUGGCAUAUUAAUUGCCACAACCUUAAAGUAACACUCAAAACACCAAAACUACUACAGUGUACUGUAGUGGUUAUGAUACCAGGAUUGCCCUUGAACCCUCCCAAUCUAAGUAGUCCGUUUACUAAUAGCUUGAUGUCUUACCUGGAGUCUGCCAAGCACAGCUUCCUGCCUCACUGCAUUUGGCCAUCAUAGCAGGAACUUUUGACUUUCUAUACUGGAACAGAAGGGUCAAAGAGUGGCUCCUGGUGGACCCCAGGUAACCAGUCAAACCAUUAGCAUACAGUUUGACGAGUUACAUGGGGGCGCCAAGUCAUCAGUGGCAUCAGUGAGCUUCUACAAAGAGUUGUACAUACUGUCAGAAUAUAUAUAAUAAAUAUUAUAUAUAUUUAUAUAUUUUUUUUAUCUUUAUAUACUUUUUUUAUUUAUAUAUUUGUAUAUUUAUAUAUUAUAUAUAUAUAUAUAAAUAUAUAUAUAUAUAUAUAUAUACAUAUUCAAUUAGUUUAUCUUGUCAUAUAGGUUCUGCCAAACAAUUGUUAGCAAAUAUAUACCGUAUUUAUCGGCGUAUAACACGCACCGUAGGAAAAAUAAAAUUAUCCAUCCAGGUCUGAAUGAAAAUGAAACUCCACUUUUCUGGGAAUUACAUAGUUACAUAGCUGAAAAGUUCAGCCUUCCUCACAUUUAAUUUUUUGCGGUUGAUCCAAAAGAAGGCAAAAAAAAAACAAAACAAUUUAAAGCACUUCCAAUUUUGCAGCAAACUAGGAAAAAAUUCCUUCUUGACCCCAGAAUGGCAGUCAUAUUUAUCCUUGUAUCAAGAAGCUAUUACCCUGCAUUGAAAAAUUGUAUCCUUGAGUAUUCUGUUUUUGCAAAUAUGCAUCUAGUUGCUGUUUGAACAUCUGUAUGGACUCUGAUAAAACCACUUCUUCAGGCAGAGAAUUCCACAUCGUUAUUGUUCUUACAGUAAAAAAAAACUUUUAUUUGCCUUCGACGAAAUCUUCUUUCUUCCAGUCUAAUCGGAUGACCAUGUGUCCUAUGUUAAGUCCGGUUUGUGAAUAGAUUUCCACACAAUGGUUUGUAUUGGUCCCGAAUAUAUUUGUAUAAUGUUAUCAUAUCCCCUCUCAGGCGACUUUUUCUAAACUAAAGAGGUUUAAAUUUUGUCUUCAUAGCUGAUAGGUUCCAUUCCUUUUAUUAAUUUUGUAGCCCGCCUCUAAUAUCCUUUUUUAGAACAGGUGCCCCAAAUUGCACAGCAUAUUCAAUGUGUGGUCUUACCAAUGAUUUAUAAAGAGGCAAAAUGAUAUUCUCAUCCUGAGAAUGAAUGCCCUUUUUCAUUACCUUACUGGCCUUAGCCACUGCUGAUUGACAUGGCACAUUGUUGCAUAGUUUGUUGUCUAUAACAAUUCACAAGUCCAUUUCGUGUGUUGUUAUUCAUAAUUUGAUUCCAUUAAGGGUAUACGUUGCUUGUGCAUUCUUUACACCGAAGUGCAUAACUUUGCAUUUUUCAACAUUUGAGUGCCCAGUCCCCUAGUCUAUCUAAAUCCCUCUGCAGCAAAGUAAUAUCUUACUCACAUUGUAUUAUUUUACAGAGUUUUGUGUUAUCUGCAAACACUGUAACAUGACUUACAUGCCUUUUUCAAGAUCAUUUAUAAAUAUGUUAAAUAUAAUGGGUCCCAAAACAGAACCCUGAGGGUCAUCACUUGCCACCUCUGUCCAGCUUGAAAAUUUACCACAACUCUUUGUACUCUAUUUUUAAGCCAAUGUUCUACCUAAGAACAAGCAUUUUCGUCUAAACCGAUUUCUUUGAGUUUGAACACUAAUCUAUUGUGUGGAACUGUAUCAAAUGCCUUGCAAAAUCCAAAUAGAUCAUAUCCACUGCAACACUCUGAUCUAUACUUCUAUUUACAUCUUUGUAGAAUGCUGUCAAGUUAGUUUGACAUGACCUGUGCUUCAUAAAACCAUGCUGAUUUUUGCUGAUAACCAUGUUCUUAUCAAAGAAUUCUUGAACAUUAUCCCUUAAUAACCUUUCAAAUACUUUUCCAGCCACAGAAGUUAAGCUCACAGGUCUAUAGUUUUCAGGCAAGGAUUUUAAAACCUUUUUUAAUAUAGGAACCACAUCUGCUUUCCUCCAAUCCUCCGGAACACUUCCUGAAAGAAAAGAAUCUUGAAAGCUUAAAAACAGAAGCUCACUUAUUUCUACACUUAGUUCCCUAAGUACUCGUGGAUGGAUACCAUCAGGCCCUGAAGCUUUGUUUAUAUUAACUUUCUUAGUUGCUGCAGAACCUUGUCUUGAGUUAACCAAUUACAAUUUUUCUGCACGUUUUUAGCAGCAAUCAUUUGUACAUUUAUCGCCAUGGGUUCUUCCUUAGUAUACACAGAAGAGAAAUAGUUAUUUCAAAUUUCUGCCUUUUCCUGGUCUUCAUUAACUAACACCCCAUUUCAGUUUUUAGUGUACCUACACUUUAAUUUUGUGUUUUUUUUAGAAUUUAUGUACUUAAGGAAUGCUCUGGGGUUGGUUUUGCUCUCUUUGGAUAUAAUUUUUUUCAUUUUGAAGUUUAGCUAAUCUAAUCGCCUUUUUGCACGCAUUAUUGGCUUCCUUAUAUCUUUUAUAGGAUGCAUAUGAUUUGUCCUAUUUAAAUGCUUUAAAUGCCCGUUUCUUAUUUUUAAUCUCUGGUUUUACUUCUCUACUAAGCCACAUUGGUUUCAAUUUGUUUCUUUUAUACUUAUUACCCAAUGGUACAUACUGAGAAAUGUACCUUAGUAAUAUUUGUUGGAAGAUGAUCCAUUUAUCCUCAGUGUUCUUUUCACUAAAGAGUUUAUGCCAGUCAAUAUAUUGUAAAUCUGCCCUCAACUUAUAGAAAUUGGCCUUUUUAAAAUUUUAUGUUUUAGUAUAUCCCAUGUGCUUUUGUUUUUUUGUUUUUUAGUUUAUUUCAAAGGACACUAUAUUGUGAUCACUAUUUCCCAAGUGCUCACCUACUUGAAUGUUGGUCAAAAGAUCAACAUUGUUUGUUAGAACCAAGUCCAGACAUGCUUCAUUUCUAGUUGGUGCUUGUAAAAGUUGUGACAUGAAGGUGCCAUUUAACAAGUUCAAAAACCUAAUUCCCUUUGCUGAGCUACUAGUCCCUCUGUCCCAAUUUAUGUCCCGGUAAUUAAAAUCUCCAAUAAUUAAAGGGAUUCACCAUUGCCAGGAAAAUAUAUUUGUUUUCCUGGCACUGCAGGUUCCCGCAGUGCCCCUCUCCUUCCCACCCCCCAUCCCAAGUUGCUUCCCCUUCAGUGACUUACCGGAGUCCAGCGCUGAUGUCCUUGGCGCUGGGUCAGGCUCCACCUACUCUCCUCCCCCGCUGACGUCAGCUGGCUUGGGAGACCUAAUACGCAUGUGCGGCAAUGGCCGCGCAUGUGCAUUAGACCUCCCCAUAGCAAAGCAUUUUUCAGUGCUUUCCUAUGGGGAUUUUGGCAAUGCUGGAGGUCCUCACAUAGCGUGAGGACGUCCAGCAACGCAGAAAUCACUUUUCGUGUGCUAAGAACACGGAAGUCCCUCUUGUGGCUGUCUAGUUGACAGCCACUAGAGGAGGACUUAACCCCGCAAUGAAAAUAUUGCAGUUUAUGAAAACUGCAAUAAUUACACUUGCAGGGUUAAGUGUAGUGGGAGUUGGCACCCAGACCACUCCAAUGGGCAGAAGUGGUCUGGGUGCCUGGAGUAUCCCUUUAAAAAGAUUUUCAGCUUUCUCAGUUUGCUCAAACAGCUGUUGUUCCUCGUCAACAUUUACAUUAGGUGGUUUAUAACAUAUCCCAACCAAUAGUUGGUUUCUCUUCUUUUGCCCCAAGCAGAUAUUUACCCAUAAAGCUUCCACAUUUUCCUCAUCACUUUCCACUUGCUUAAGAUUUGGCUUUAACUCAUGGUUGACAUACAAACAUACCCGACCACCUUUCCUGUUUUUUCUGUCCUUCCUAAAUAGUGUGUAUCCAUUUAAGCUAACUACCCAGUCAUGUGUCUCAUAAUGGAAGACUAGCCUUUAUAUCUUCUCACUAUCUGUCUCUGACCACUGUUUGAGGUGAAACACAUUUUUGUUAACACAUUUGUCCCUUUAGUAUUCACUUCUGCUCUCCUUUGGUCAGGUCCAUGUUGUGGAACUCCAUGGAGCAAACAUUCUCCAUGAUUAUCCAUGAUUGUCCCUACAUGGAUAUCAGUUACACCUUUCAUAAAAAUAUAUAUCACUUUUAGCUUUAAACCCUUAAGGACACAGCUUCAGAAGUAAAAGGUCAGCAUUACGGAAAAUUUCCAUCAUGAGUCAUUGAGGGGUUAAUAAAAGAUACUCAGAUUUAUACUGAAUGCAGUUGAUGGUGUGUUAUUAAAUCUGCUUCAAAGGGACAUUCCAAACACCUAAUGCACUGGAGCUUGCUUUUUGUGCGAAGAGUAUGUCUUCUUCUUUUUUUCAUUUUACAAAAAGUGCAAACUUAAAAAGAAACUGCAACCUUUAUAAAUGAAUAUUAUUACAACUGCCUGGCUGUCAGUCAGACAACUGAUUCUGUUAUUUUCAGGUUGAUUAGUUCAGUCGAGCUAAAUUCAAGACACAAUUUCCCAAAGAAACUGCCUUGCAAAGAAUACUUAUUGAGUUGCAUUGGAAAGUCUGUGAUUGGACAGUCACAGAAAGUCUGGGCGGGGUUAGAAUUGAAGGACUUGAAAAGUCUGCAGACAAAAGAUAUGCAAAUUUUGUGAGCUGUUUUUAGAUAUAACUCCAAUGAAACUAAAUGCAAAAUUAAAUAUAUACAUGUUUUCAUUAGGUUAUAUUUACUAAACAGUGGUAAUAUAAUUUAUUUUUUGAUAUCUUUUAUUUGGGCUGCGUUCUUUUAACCAUGUGGUGUGAACUUGGUGUGAACAUUAUUGUUUUUAAGAUUAACGGAAAUAUUUUUGCAAAAUGUGUAUAGUCUAGGCUAAAUUAUAAAUAAAUAAAAUGAACAAGUGAAUGGAAAUAUAAAAAAUGGAUAAAUGAUUGCAGACAGGUAACAGGAAUUGUAACAGCCAAUACUUGAUGGACUUAGGUUUUCACUGUGAAUGAUUGUGUUACUUUGUGUUGAUUGCUAAAUUAUCCAUCAAGGUAAAACUGGAGGGUAAAGUGAUAAAUGUGGAGACAAUUUAUAUUGACUUCUAUGGCGACUGAUUCUUAUUCACCACUCUAUUACCUAUUUGGACUUAAGUCUCCUCUCUUCUGAUCUGUAAGAAAGCAGCUACAGUGCCAUCUAGUGUUUAUGCACCGUGUUUCACAUUAUAAAUCCAACCUUUGGUUCAUAGAAAAAAUGUUUUUUUUCCAAAGUGUAGAAAGAUUAGUUUAUUUGUAAAUGAACCUCAAGUUUAAAGAGCUAAACACUUUAAUUAUUUGUUCAUGUUAUAACUGUUAUACCUUAUGCCUCUAUUUCUUAUUAAAUGUCUCCUGCUGCCAAUCUCAUUUCUUAGCAAUCAAGUUCACUCACUUCCUCUCUACCCAUACACAAAGUGGCUUGUAGCGUUCUGCUGUUACCUUGACAUCAAAGUGAAAGAGUGCAAUCAAAUAACCUUAUGGCCAGUGGUAAGAGACAGGGAGGAGGAAUAAACAUAACAAAAUCAUAAUAAAAGAAUGAUAAAAUGUAGAGCUGCCCUUCAGAUCACAGCCACUAUCCCAUCACACAAAUUUACACACAUACUUCAUCCACUAUACACAAACACUGCUUCUACUAAACACGUACACAUACACUGUGUCCACUAUACACACAAACACUGCAUCCCCUACACACAUUGCAUUUUUUACACUCACACUACAUACCCUACACACAUACACUAUAUUCUAUAAGUGGGAUUGCCAUAUUUAAGGACAGCAAAACAGGGAGCUAUCUACUAAACACAGGUCCCUUCCUAAUCUGGUAUCAUUAAAUAUGGCAUGUAUAUAUGUAUAAAAAGAUGUAUGUGCUGAAUUUAUACAGAAUGUAUAUUCUACAUGUAUAGAGAACAUAUACGCUGCAUGUAGGGGCAUUACUAGGGUCAAAAAACACCCUUGGCUUAAGCCCUGAAAUAAUUUGGUGACACCUUCCCAAACUCCAACUUUCCCUCUCCACAAAUCCAUUACUUAACACACUUCUCAGCACACUUUCAAUUACUUGCAGACUCACACAGAUACUCAUAAACACACUUAGACACAGGUGGGUAAACACAGACAUGCACAAGCACACACAGGCACUGACACACACACAGAUAGGCACAGACACAUGCACAUACACAGGCAGGCAUACAUAGGCCAGAUAGGUCCACAGAGAGAGAGAGAGACAUCGGCAGGUGCACACAAAGAGACAGGAAUACACAGGCACACACAGACAGGUACACAUUGUCACACAUACACAGGUACAUACAGACACAGACAGGUAUACACAAGCAUAUACAGACACAGACAGACACACACAGCUAUAGGCAAGCAGACACAGUUGCACACAGACAUAGACAGACACACAGAGCCACUGGUAAGCACAGGUAUAAAUAGGCAUAGACAGAAAUAGUCAGGUACACAAAGACACAGUCAAACACACAAUCUUACCAGAAUGUACAUAUUUGUGUACCACAGAACUCCACAGCUGUGUGUAAAUAGAUCUUUGUCUUGUGUUUGUGGAGUAGUACGUGUGUCUAGGCACUGUAGAUUGAGAUUUAAUUCAGUGCCUGUGUAUAGGGGACGCAGUGUUUGUAUAGGAUGGUGUGUUUAAAUUAUGCAGUGUGUUUAGGGGAUGUAGUGUGUGUUUGCUGGUGAGGAUGUGUAUGUAGGUGGUGUAGUAUGAUAUAUGUAUAAAACCCACAGCGACUGCCUGGAGCUCACAGGAACCUCUAUACCAGUUCUGCACCUGGCAGAGUGAUGUGUGAGCAGAGGCUCUCUGGGCUCCCCUUUCCCCAUAUAAUCUGGGUAUUUGGUAGGUGAGGAAAAUCUCUGAUCUCCCCAGCAGCCUUUAGAGGCACCCCUUUGCAUGGACAGUAGUUAGGGUUGCCAAUCCUGCAGAGUGGGGGGGAGACCAGGGGUUAUAGAGCUCCAUUUUUGGGGCACUAGCCCCCCCCCCCCGACUCCCCUGGCUACAUGUAUAUAGAGUGCAUGUGCUGCAUGUAUGCAUAAUGGAAAUGCAGCAUGUGUAUAGAAUUCAUAUGCUGCAUGUAUAUAGAUUGUGUGUGCUGCAUGUAAAUAGAAUAUAUUUGCAGUAUGUUUAUAGAAUGUAUGUGCUACAUGUAUAUAGAAUGCACAGGAUACAAAAUUAAGGAUACAAAAUUAUAUAUAUACACAGGAUACAAAAUUAACCUACCUACUAAAAUUAGCUUUCUACUAAACAGUUAAAAGAGAAAAACAACUCAAAUUUGUUUUUCUGAAUUUUGCUAUUUCCGUUGCUUAGUAGAUACGUCCCUAAAUUGAUGCCUUUAUUAUGUUAAUCCCAAGUAAGAAUACCAAAUUAUGGAGAUAUCUACUAAACAGCUAAAAGAUUAGCAUUAAGAAAAGCCAUUUUUCUUAAUUUUGCUCUUUCAGUUGCUUAGUAUAUAAAUCCCUAAUUUGCUAUCUCUAUGAAAACAAUUGGAUCCAAAAUAAUCUGUUUCAAUUGGUUCCAAAUUUGUUAAUUUUAGGUUCUAUCAAUUUGUAAAUGUGGACGCUUUUUUUUGCCAAAUUCGGACAAAUAGGAUUCAGAACAAACCAAAUUUCUCUUGUCUACCGUUCACUAUUCCUAGAAUGUCAGAACCUUUGGGGAAACUGGGCUUAUAAGCUUUGUAGUAUUUUAAGACAAUUAUGCAUGCCCUAUUCUUUGGGAUCUUAUGUACACACUUUGAAGAUUAUGUCAUCAUAUUCCUCCAUUAAAGCAAACUCUUACCAGUGAUUUGACAUGGACAUUAGCCUAGACAUGUCUGAAGUUCCUAAUUUAUAGAUUGUCCAUCUGUACAUAUACUAGCAUAGUGUCCUGAGUUUUACAUUUUCAACAUUUGUUCAUCAAUUUACUAUUUUCUUCUUUUGAGUGUGUUUGCUAUGACGUCUUACUUAGUAACCUCUCUCCCUGAAUUGCACCAUGUUAAUGUACUAGUUCCAAUGUAGUUUCACUACACUCUAAUUACUCUGUUCUUUUACAUAUCUUUUUUGUAUUAUAUUUUGUAUUUUACAAUUAAAUGUACAUCUUUUUAAAUAGGUUCAUUAAAACUUGUUUAUUGAUGUCAAUGCUAUUUUAUGUGUUUUUUAAAUAUCAACAAUUGAGUCUCAAAUUAGAUUUUUGGAACCUUGAGGUUUUUUGUUUUUUUACUUUAUUCUAUUUUCAUGUAGUUAUAAACUCAGAGAACUCAAUAAAUAUUUACAAAGAAAACUAAUCAGGAACCGAAGCUCCUACAAGUGGAAAGUAAUUAUCCAAAGAGUCAUUCAAGGUAGAAUUUUACGUGUUACUUGUUUACAAAAAUGUGAACAUCUAUAGUAAGCCUGAUCAAUUCAUGAUAAACAAAUUUAGGCAUAAAAAGUGGGGGGAAAGAAGGAUUCUGCUGUUCACUAUUGUCUGGCAAGCAUAAAAAUAAAAAAAAGCAUAUUCCCAGCACUCCCAACCAGUCAACACACCAAGGUUGGAUGAAUUUGAUACUGACAAUGUGGAAGUUUUAUCAAUAUAGCCGUGAUGGAGCGGGCCCUGGUGCCAGGAAGACCCCUUGGUGUAUCUCAAAUUAUAAUUUUUUUCCCAAUUGACAAUUUUUAUUAAGGUUUUGUGUGAGUACAGAAUGAAGAAGAGGGGGGUGGAUUAGCAGUGUCAUUGUAUACAGCAUAACAAAGAAGCACAAUAACUGUAAUACACUUGCAUGUAAUUGUUACAGAAUUUUCAAUACAUUUUUUUAACUUUACAUAGUUAUUUUGCAUUUCUUAUAUAUUUGGUACAUUAUCUGAUUCAGUAUGCCCUAUAAGGUUGCUAGACUGUCUUGAAGUGCGCCUUCCGUGUCCUGUUAUAGGAUAUUCACUGUUGUGAAGUGUGUACCACCUGUAUGUCUUUGCACCCAGAGUGCGCCUCAACAAUCUAACAGGGCGCGUAUAUGGUACCCUUGUCAGCUGACAAUGAUCACUGACUCCACCGAGGUGACACUUAGCUGUUCCCUUAGACGGCUGCUACGCCGCAUUAUGCUGCCUGGAAAGAGGAGAAUGGGGGGAGGGGUUGGAGAGGGUAAACGUCAGCUGCAGUGUUCCAGUUACUCCUGUCAGGUUUCCAUCCUGUGGCAGAGCAGGUCACCUUUAUUCUCCUGUACAGAAACUCCUGGUUGUCCCAGCUCUAAUGUGUGUGUUUUUUUUUUUUUUCAUAUAUUCAUAGGUAUUAUACUAAUGCUUGUGUUGUGCCCCUGUUUGGUGAGUCCCCUAGUCUGGGCACUCUGUGUCAAUGUGAGUCUCUGUGGUGCCUUAACUGGAUGUGUAAUUAUCCCAUAAUAUCUUGGCCUCUAAAGUAUCAUUAAUAGGAGCUAUAUGGAUGUGUGACGUGGUUUCAUAAUCCCAGUUUGAAUUAACCUGAGCAUGUAUCACCAUUCUGCUUGGUGUCUGGGGUGUCUUCCAUGCACGGGCUAUCAGGGUGUUAGCUGCUAUUAUCACCUGGAAUUUGAUUUUAGAGUGCACUCGGGGUUGAUUUCCCAUGCCCAUUAACAACAGGCAUAUUUCUGGUGUGAGACGCUGUGGGAUCUGCAAGAGGUUCAAGAGAUCUUUCUCGACCACCCUCCAGCAGGGUCGGAUGGCUGGACAGGUCCACUACACAUGCAGUUUCAAAUGAUUCCUGAAUGGUUUUAAAUUUAAACCUUGGAACAGUAAGGAGACACUAAACAACAUAUUCACUACUUUGAUGUGGAGUGGCUUAGAAUGUCUCUUUAAGUGAUCAUGAUGAUUAACUGAGCACACUGCAGACUCGUCAAAGCUUGUGAAUUUACAUCUAAUGCAGGGAAUUUUAUGUAUUUUUUUAUUUUAUUGUUUUGCAUUUGUUUUAUUGCCUUAUAUAUGUAUAUACUCAAGUCUGAAGUGUCACAUUAUCAAUGUAACUGUGUCCUCACAACCAACACAUUUACAGUAGAGCAUGUAAAAUUAUUUUAACAUCAUAAGUAAUUGAAAACCCUUUCUUUUAAUUUUUAUCAUGCAGUUAUAUCACUACAAUAUAUUGGGUUUUUAGGAUAUGAGGAAAAGAACCAUGGCAUACCCAAAUCCUGGUGUCUGUGGAAGCACCAUGGGUUAUUUAAGUGUUCUAUUUAAAAAAACAUGGCUCUAUAGAUAAUAUUUUUCUUCCAACAUUUCUAAUAACUGAGCUAUGAAGUGGUGCUGAAAGGAAAGCUCCCUGGUCAUUAACUAUAUCAUUAACUAUAAAAUAAUCCAACAGUAUCCCAACAGCAAUCCCAAUAACUGGACGACACACAGCAUCAGGAGCAGAACUGAAAACCUUUAUUCCACAGUGGCCUUAUAUAGCAUGCUCCCAUGCAAGGGAGGGACUUUCAUCAAUUAGUACAGUACCCAAUCCAACAAUAGUAACCUCCCACCUAUCUCCUCCCCUCAGCCUGACUCAUAAUCCCCUUAUACUGUACACAAAUUCCCCCAGUUUCUGGAUGUACCCCUAAACCUAGGAGUACCCCUUUAAAUGGCACAUCCCCUGGUAGCCCUGAUCUGGGUGAGCAACAUAUCAAAAAAUCACCCAGAUCGGACCAGGGGUUUGGGAAAUUUAUGGAAGUACUAAAAAGACCGACCACGCUGGAGAGAACAGCCGAAUUGGGUUCCAUGCGAUGGGGCCCUGUGGUUGGUCCCAGUAUAGGGGAAUAAAUUACAUGAAUGGCUAAGGCUACAGAGAUCAGGUAGGGUUCACAUGAAUCCCCUCGUUCGGUUGUUUCUGUCUACCGAACGAGGGGCCGUUCGGUAGUUUGGAACCGAACGGACCGGGCUUGUGGAGGUCUCAGGGGUGUUCGCCUAGUCGAGUGUCCGAUUUGAGUUCCAGACACUCGACGGCAAAACACCGCUGUUCGGGAGUUUUAAAAUGGCCGCCACCACGUGUUCGUUUCCCGAAUGGCGGCCACCCCGCGAACAAAGGACCUACUGCAUAGCUUGUUAAUUACCCGUUCGCAACAUUGUUGCAAUGGGUAAUUGAAGGCACACUUCACACAGGGGAGGUCUGAUUGUUCGGUUUCAUUCCCUUAGUUUAUUCGAAUGAUUCUACCGAACAAUCAGACGAAUACACUUUAUUUCAACACAUACAAAACCAGCAGUUUACACGAAUGCAGUUAAACACAUGUAAUUUUCACUAUCGGGUCUGACCCAGCAAUCUGCUUGUCUGUCUCCCUGUCUAGAAGCUGCUUGUCCCAGACAAAUCUCUCUCCCUCCCCCCGGGUGAGUCAGUGACAACCUUGUCCCUAUAUACUUGCAGCGUAGGUUCGGUUACUACUUCAGCUGCAAAUUCAUUAGGUGGGGCCCAGGGGACACAUUCUAAGGAAGGAGAAGGGUCUCUUAACUGAACUUCCGGGAGUGUGUUGUAGUCCUGGGUGCGGGCCUGUUGUCGGGUGACCACAGGGUGAGCUUCUCCUGUGGUGGGCAUCUGGGGCUCAAAAGCAGACGUGAGCCUCCCCAGAUCAUUCCCCAACAAAACCUCCACCGGUAACUGCGGCAUCAACCCCACCUCCACGUGUCCUGACCCCGCUCCCCAAUGCAAAUGUACCCUUGCUGUAGGUAGCCGGUACACUGCUCCCCCAGCUACCCUGACGGCUACAGUUUUACUGAGCUUAGCCUGAUCCGAAACCAGGUGACUCUUUACCAGGGUGAUAGUAGCUCCUGAGUCAUGUAGUCCUUGGACCGCUUUACCCUCCAAGUAUACCGUCUGUCUAUGGUGCUGACGAUUAUCAGCAUUGGCUUGGACUGGAUCGGCUUCGUGCAAAACUUCCCACUGUUCCACGGUGGUAAUGGGCACUGCUGAACCAUACGGUGUUGCAACUAUGUCCUGGUAGCAGUGGGCUGUGGCCGCUCUUGGUGGUGGUGGUGGGCCUGGUCGGAUCCAGGUGGAACGAUCCCAUAGUUGUGGGCAUUCUCUUUUAUAAUGCCCCCAUUUCUGGCAGUGAUGACAGGGCCCAGAGCUCGGCUGGCGAAACCGUGGCUGUGCAGCGGGCGGUGGUGGCGGUGGUAGUUGCCUGGGUGGUACUGGGGUGUAGUUGGUUCCCCCAAAGGUUUUCCAUGGGGUUUUUGGAACUGCAGGUUUUUGUUGUCUGCGUGCGUCCAUGUACUCAUCUGCCCUUCUAGCUGCUUCUGUGAGGGAGGUAGGGUUUCAGUCCCUUACCCACUCCUGGACAUCUGCUGUCACCCCAUCAUAAAAUUGUUCCAUUAGCAGCAUUUGUAUCACGUCCUCCAUGGAUAUGGAUAUGGUAUUUUAGGCUUACCUUCCUGUGGCACGUUUACUGUAGAGCUGCGUUCUGGGGUUGUUGUUAUCCGUUGCCUCAGUAUGAAUUCCUGGACCUCUGUCAUGGUCCUGGAAAUAAUUUCUGCUGACAGGUGUUCUCCAUAAAAAGACAGCCUAAAUUGUAACUGUCUCUGGAACUCCAUUUGUUCCUGUGUUUCCCCCGAAUCCCCCUGUUUGGGAACCGAACCGCCAUCCAUUCGGUACUCUGCCAUGAGUUCGGUAAUAAGUGCCGCUUUCUUCUUGUUGCUGGCUUGAAUACCCCUUGCCUCUAGGAGGUCCUUUAAUGUGGAGCGUUUUAGUGUAGCAAAAUCAAUCUCCAUCCGUACUCCAUUUGUGCUUGUUCCUCUGUGAGUCUGGAUCCCAGCGCUGCCACCAAUGUAGCGGAGAUACAAUAUUCCACAGAUUAUCUCCGCUUAAGAUCCCAGUGAGGCUCAGGAACAAGUAAUUAUAAAGCCACAGGCAAGGUUUCCAGCAGGUAAAAUAAUCCAACAGUAUCCCAACAGCAAUCCCAAUAACUGGACGACACACAGCAUCAGGAGCAGAACUGAAAACCUUUAUUCCACAGUGGCCUUAUAUAGCAUGCUCCCAUGCAAGGGAGGGACUUUCAUCAAUUAGUACAGUACCUAAUCCAACAAUAGUAACCUCCCACCUAUCUCCUCCCCUCAGCCUGACUCAUAAUCCCAUAUACUGUACACAAAUUCCCCCAGUUUCUGGAUGUACCCCUAAACCUAGGGGUACCCCUUUAAAUGGCACAUCCCCUGAUAGCCCUGAUCUGGGUGAGCAACAUAUCCAAAAAUCACCCAGAUCGGACCAGGGGUUCGGGAAAUUUAUGGAAGUACUAAAAAGACCGGCCGCGCUGGAGAGAACAGCCAAAUUGGGUUCCAUGCGAUGGGGCCUUGCGGUCGUUCCCAGUAUAAGGGAAUAAAUUACAUGAAAGGCUAAGGCUACAGAGAUCAGGUAGGGUUCGCAUGAAUCCACUCGUUCGGUUGUUGCGACUACCGAACGAGGGGCCGUUCGGUAGUCUGGAACCGAACGGACCGGGCUUGUGGAGGUCUCAGCAGUGUUCGCCUAGUCGAGUGUCCGAUUUGAGUUCCAGACACUCGACGGCAAAACACCGCUGUUCAGGAGUUUUAAAAUGGCCGCCACCACGUGUUCGUUUCCUGAAUGGCGGCCACCCCGCGAACAAAGGAUCUACUGCAUAGCUUGUUAAUUACCUGUUCGCAACAUUGUUGCAACGGGUAAUUGAAGGCACACUUCAAACAGGGGAGGUCUGAUUGUUCGGUAGUUUCAUUCCCUUAGUUUAUUCGAAUGAUUCUACCGAACAAUCAGACGAAUACACUUUAUUUCAACACAUACAAAACCAGCAGUUUACACAAAUGCAGUUAAACACAUGUAAUUUUCAGGACAGCCCAGUGCCAUCCACUACAAUAUAUAUAUGCAUAUCUCUACAUAUAUAUAUAUAUUUAAAUUCGACAAAUAUAUUUAUAUAAUAUUUUUACAUAAUCAAGUCAUUUUAUUAAUUACAAUCUGAGGGGCCUGCCCGAGAACCCAGGCAGAAAGUCCAGAGAAUUUGGCUUGCAAAGCCCUAUAUUUAACACUGUAACUUUCUAGGACACCAUUAAACCUGUACAUAAGGGGGACUGUUUUACUUGGGAGAUUCAGCUGAACACAUAUAUUAGCGUUUAAAAACAGUAAAACAUAUCACAACGAUGAUAUCGUCAGUAAAAAAUCUGUUUUUUGCAUUUGUCACACACAAAAAGUACUUUCACUGACGGUAUAAUUGUUUUGAUACAUUUUACUAAAUUCAAACACUAAUAUUUGUGUUUGGAGAAGCCCCCCAAGUAUAACAGUGCUCCCCAUAUACAGGUUUUAUGGUGUUUUCAAAAGUUACUGAAGUUACUAAAGGCUUGAAUUUCCUUUUUUUCACAUUGAAAUUUGUCCGAUGUUAUGUUGCCUUUGAGACCGUAUGAUAGUCCAGGAAUGAGAAUUACCCCCAUGAUGGCAUACCAUUUGCAAAAGUAGACAACCCAAGGUAUUGCAAAUGGGGUAUGUCCAGUCUUUUUUAGUAGCCACUUAGUCACAAACACUGGCCAAAAUUAGUGUUCAGUUUAGUUGUUUUGCAUUUUUCACACACAAACAAAUAUGAACGCUAACUUUGGCCAGUGUUUGUGACUAAGUGGCUACUAAAAAAGACUGGACAUACCCCAUUUGUAAUACUUUGGGUUGUCUACUUUUGCAAAUGGUAUGCCAUCAUGGGGGUAAUUUUCAUUCCUGGGCUACCAUUUGGUCUCAAAGGCAACAUAACCAGUCUGGCAAAUUUCAAUGUGUAUAAACUGAAAAAAUGUAAUGUGCUACAUUUGACCCUGUAACUUUCAAAAACACCAUAAAACCUGUACAUUGGUGGUACUGUUUUACCCGUGUAAACAAAUAUGUGUCCUUUAUUGAAGUAACAGCUAACAGUAUUGUGACAUUCACAGUUAACAUGCCAUGCAAAACUAGAAAAAAAACACAAUUUCUUAAUGUCUCAUUUUUAAAAAUGAUUUAUUCAUAUUAAAUUAUGUUUAAUAUACAAAUAUUUGAUGUGACAUAAAGGCCCUGUUUCUCCUGAACAAAAUUUUAUAUGAUAAGUGUGGGUGCACAUAAUAUGAAAGAGGUGAGUUACUCCUGAACAGACAUAUAGCGCAAAUUCAAGGUUUUGUUUACAUUUUGUUUUGAUCACAACUUGUACAAUUGGCUCAGUCCUUAACCCCCUAAGGACGGUGGGCGUUCUAUGCCGUCCUUUUUUGGGCAGUCCUAAAUGCCGGAGGGCAGCAUAGAAUGUUCCCGCCGUCCAGGGGACUUACCAGGUCCCCGCCGUUCUCACGACGGCGGUCGCGAUCCGGGGGGCUGCCUGGGAGCUCAGGCAGCCCCCUUCUGCACGAUCCGGCCAUCCAGGGCCAUGUGAUCAUUGGGUCCUUGCGAUCACAUGGCCGGGAUAGCAGGCUCAUGCAAUGCCAGCUAACAGUAUUUUGACAUUCCCAGUUAAAAUGCCAUGCAGUACUAAAGAAAUAAAAAAAUAAAAAAUCUUAAUUUUUCACAAGUCCUGUUUCUCCUGAACAAAAAGAUAUAUAAUAAGUGUGGGUGCAUUUAAUAUGAAAGAGGCGAAUUAUGGUUGGACAGACAUAUAGCGCAGAUUUCAGGUUUUGUUUACAUUUUUUGUUUUAAUCACAACUUGUACAACUGGCUCAGUCCUUAAGGGGUUAAUAAUACAUUUUAUUAUGUAUGUACACUAUCAUCAACUAACACCAUGGGAGGCAUUUUUAUCACUGUGCAUUCACAAAAGUUUGCAACGUUCAUAGGGUGAAUAUAUAGUAUAUUAAGAACCAAUGUUAUGUAAUUCUGAUUUUUUACUGAUUUAUUUUUACCCACUAUGUUUCUAUAAUGAAGAGGUUCUUGCCCACAAUUAAGAUGAACAUCGGAUCAACAAGGAGGACUUUCGAUGAUUUAGCCCACAUUGAAGAUGGCCAUUGGAUGAUCAAGGAAUAUUGUACUAACAGCAUCAAGACAAUGGGAAAAGGAAAUAAUUGACCCCUCACUACUUC
rnacentral:lncRNA from 1 species